UCUGGUUGAUCCUGCCAGAGGUUACUGCUAUCGAGGUUCGACUAAGCCAUGCGAGUCGAAUGUAGCAAUACAUGGCGAACUGCUCAGUAACACGUGGACAACCUGCCCUUAGGUUGGGUAUAAACCCGGGAAACUGGGUAUAAUACCCGAUAGGUCUCGAUUGCUGGAAUGCAUCGAGAUUUAAAGCUCCGGCGCCUAAGGAUGGGUCUGCGGCCUAUCAGGUAGUAGUGGGUGUAGCGUACCUACUAGCCUACGACGGGUACGGGUUGUGAGAGCAAGAGCCCGGAGAUGGAUUCUGAGACACGAAUCCAGGCCCUACGGGGUGCAGCAGGCGCGAAAACUUUACAAUGCUGGCAACAGCUGAUAAAGGGAACACUCGAGUGCCAGGUCACAGAAUUGCUGGCUGUCCAGAUGCCUAAAAAGCAUCUGUCAUAGCAAGGGCCGGGCAAGACCGGUGCCAGCCGCCGCGGUAACACCGGCGGCCCGAGUGGUAACCGCUAUUAUUGGGUCUAAAGGGUCUGUAGCCGGCCAGGAUAAGUCCCUUGAGAAAUCUGGCAGCUCAACUGUCAGGCUGCUAGGGGAUACUGUUUGGCUUGGGACCGGGAGAGGUGAGAGGUACCUUGGGGGUAGGGGUGAAAUCUUGUGAUCCUCGAGGGACCACCAGUGGCGAAGGCGUCUCACCAGAACGGGUCCGACGGUAAGGGACGAAAGCUAGGGGCACGAACCGGAUUAGAUACCCGGGUAGUCCUAGCCGUAAACGAUGCUCGCUAGGUGUCCGUCACGGUGCGACCGUGAUUGGUGCCGUAGGGAAGCCGUGAAGCGAGCCACCUGGGAAGUAUGGCCGCAAGGCUGCAACUUAAAGGAAUUGGCGGGGGAGCACUACAACGGGUGGAGCCUGCGGUUUAAUUGGAUUCAACGCCGGAAAUCUCACCGGGGGCGACAGCGAUAUGAAGGUCAGGCUGAAGACUUUACCGGAUUAGCUGAGAGGUGGUGCAUGGCCGUCGUCAGUUCGUACUGUGAAGCAUCCUGUUAAGUCAGGUAACGAGCGAG
rnacentral:rRNA from 1 species